rnacentral:rRNA from 1 species
GGCAGGGAGAGACGAUACAGAACGCGUAAGGGGGCGGAAGAAGACUGCACAUAGUAGCGGAAUAAGGUAGAUAUAAGACGGUGCUGGCGUGGAGCNGAGUAGAUGUCGUAGUAAUUGAAGUUGAGGGGUNGGAGGAUANNAGGAGGAAUGUAAAUACGAGGGUAGUGAUAGUGAUGGAAGGAAAUGCAAUACGAGAGAUGGGCACCAGGAGAAANUAACAGUAAGAAGUAUGUGAUUAGUGAAGGAUGUAAAGAGGGGAGUUGGAGUCUGGACUAUUAGAGCAAAUAGUGCAAAGUGUUGGGGAGGGGCCAGAGUGGUAAAGGGGGCUGGGUAGGACGCAAAUACGGGCGCUGAGGGUGGCAAAAGGGUGGGGAGCAACCAGGGAUUAGAUGCUCUGGUAGUCCACGGGUGUAAACGAGAAUACAGUCGUUCGGGCAGCAUUGCUGUUCGGUUGACACACCUAACGGAUUAAGCAUUCCGCGUGGGAGUACGGUCGCAAGAUUAAAACUCAAAGGAAUUGACGGGGGCCCGCACAACCGGUGGAGCAUGUGGUUUAAUUCGAAGCAACGCGCAGAACCUUACCAACCCUUGACAUGGCAGUGACCGUUCCAGAGAUGGUCCUUUCUCGCAAGAGACACUGCACACAGGUGCUGCAUGGCUGUCGUCAGCUCGUGUCGUGAAGAUGUUCGGUUAGAUCCGGCAACGAGCGCAACCCACGCCUUUAGUGUGCCAGCAUUCAGUUGGGCACUCUAAAGGAACUGCCGGUGAUAAGCCGGAGGAAGGUGUGGAUGACGUCAAGUCCUCAUGGCCCUUACGGGUUGGGCUACACACGUGCUACAAUGGUGGUGACAAUGGGUUAAUCCCAAAAAGCCAUCUCAGUUCGGAUUGUCGUCUGCAACUCGGCGGCAUGAAGUCGGAAUCGCUAGUAAUCGCGUAACAGCAUGACGCGGUGAAUACGUUCCCGGGCCUUGUACACACCGCCCGUCACACCAUGGGAAUUGGAUCCACCCGAAGGCGGUGCGCCAACCAGCAAUGGAGGCAGCCGACCACGGUGGUCAG